CAAUAGCGUAUAUUAAAGUUGUUGCAGUUAAAAAGCUCGUAGUUGGAUUUCUGGUGGGAGCGAUCGGUCUGGCGCUUAGCGCGAGUACUUGCAUCGUCUCCGGCCAUCCUUGGGGAAAGUCUGUCUGGCAUUAAGUUGUCGGGCAGAGGAUCCUCAUCGUUUACUGUGAAAAAAUUAGAGUGUUCAAAGCAGGCUUAUGCCGUUGAAUAUAUUAGCAUGGAAUAAUAAGAUAGGACUUUGGUACUAUUUUGUUGGUUUGCGCACCAAAGUAAUGAUUAAUAGGGACAGUUGGGGGUAUUCGUAUUCCGUUGUCAGAGGUGAAAUUCUCGGAUUUACGGAAGACGAACUACUGCGAAAGCAUUUACCAAGGAUGUUUUCAUUAA
rnacentral:rRNA from 1 species